UUGUUGUUGCUCGUGAGAUGAUCUUGCUCACAUUGCCUGUCUGCGCUUGGUGGGGUCGCUCCCCUCAAGUUGUGCGCUCCGGAGUUUGGUCACUAGAGAGGCAGCCCUGCUUGCUGCUCGGAUAGCCGCUUGUUAUCCGCAGGCAUUCUCGGGGAUAGUCCAGCUAGGCAUCCCUCGGAGGUUUUCAUGUGAGCAUUGCUUGUGAACCUUGUGUUCACUUGGAGAUUGGGUUACCCAUUGAGUCUUACCCAUGAUUGGUAUUCAUAGUAGCUAUUCAUUGUUCAUAUCGGCUUAUUUGCUUUCCUAGUAGUAUGUUUUAUAGCUUACUAUUAUAGCUGUUGUAGAUGUUUAUAGUAGUUGCUUACCCUACUAUUUAUUGUUCAUGCAUCCAUGACUUCAGAUUGAGGCAUAGCUUGAUAUAGUUGUUUUACAUAUCCGCUUACGGUUCAGUUUAGCUUUUUAUAUAUAUUGCAUAUAUAUAUCUCUCUAUGCCUGCUUAAGACCUAGUGGGUAGAUCGGCGGAGUCGGCGGCCGAACCCACUGGGAACUAUUCGUAGUUCUCACACCCCACGUUGCAGGUGCUAGUUCGAGUGUCCCGACACAGCGGGAGGAUCGCGGCAAGGGCUUGGCGCCCUAGCGGUUUGGUUGAUAGCUUUACCUUUACUACUUGCAUUAGUUCUAUCCUGUACUUUUGCUUACAUUUUGAGAGUAGAUGAUGUAUAGGGUGAGGUUUUGGAGAGGAUUUGAUGUAUUCACAUUUUGGAAAAAGAAAGCAAGUUGUAUUAAAUGAUUAAAGCUUUAAUGAUGUUAAAAGAAGUUUAAUUAUGUCUUAAAUAGUUAAGUUCCCUCUUUUGAAUACUUGUAUGCUAUUACUCGUAUCGCUUGCUCUUGUUGUUUAUAGCACUGUUUGUGCUCUCGUUAUCGUUGUUUGAUUGUGUAUGAGUUCAAGUUGUAUUCCUGGGAACUUGUUGUACACAAUCUCGUUGUUGCUUAGCCUAGGGCGAGCAGGGGAGACUCUGCCCGUUCGGAGGUCACGCACGCCGUCCUCGAACCGGACCAAAUUGGCACCGUUUUCGGGUGGUGCGGUCGUGGGGCGUGACAGAUAAGUUGCAAAUUUAAACUCUCGGGGCAUAAUAGAAUAAUAUAAAUAUGUUUAACUCAUUGUUCGAUUGAAUGAGAAAAAGCACUGUUUGCAAAGUUAUACUGUUAGGGCGCAACUAAGAAGGCUACUGUUGGUCUGGUUUUGGUUAACGUGAACGUUGACAUCGAUACGUUGCUAAUUUACACACUCGGGGCAUAAUAAAACAAUAUAAUUUGGUAUUACUUUUCGUUCGGUUGAAUGAGAAAAAGUACUCGUUGCAAAGUUAUACUGUUAGGGCGCAACUGAGU
rnacentral:lncRNA from 1 species